rnacentral:rRNA from 1 species
AGUCAUAUGCUUGUCUCAAAGACUAAGCCAUGCAUGUCCAAGUACACGCCUUCACACGGCGAGACUGCGAAUGGCUCAUUAAAUCAGUUAUGGUUCCUUAGAUCGUACAAUCCUACUUGGAUAACUGUGGCAAUUCUAGAGCUAAUACAUGCCAACGAGCGCUGACCUCCGGGGAUGCGUGCAUUUAUCAGACCCAAAACCCAUGCGGGCCAAUCUCGGUUGCCCCGGCCGCUUUGGUGACUCUAGAUAACUUCGAGCCGAUCGCGCGCCCUUUGUGGCGGUGACGUCUCAUUCGAAUGUCUGCCCUAUCAACUUUCGAUGGUACUUUCUGUGCCUACCA